AUUAAGCCAUGCAUGUAUAAGUAUAAACGCUUUAAGCGUGAAACCGCGAACGGCUCAUUACAACAGCUAUAAUUUACUUGAUCUUGACAAACUUACAUGGAUAACUGAGGUAAUUCUUGAGCUAAUACAUGCACCAAAGCUUUGACCGUAAGGGAAGAGCGCAUUUAUUAGAACAAAACCAAACGGCUUCGGCUGUUCCCAGUUGAAUCAGAAUAACUCAGCUGAUCGUACGGUCUUGCACCGACGACGUGUCUUUCAAGUAUCUGCUUUAUCAACUUUCGAUGGUAGGGUAUCUGCCUACCAUGGUGGUGACGGAUAACGGAGGAUCAGGGUUCGACUCCGGAGAAGGGGCCUGAGAAAUGGCCACUACGUCUAAGGAUGGCAGCAGGCGCGCAAAUUACCCACUCUCAGAAUUUGGAGGAGGUAGUGACGAGAAAUAACGAGGUUGAUCUCUUCUGAGGCCAACCAUCGGAAUGGGUACAAUUUAAACCCUUUAACGAGUAUCUAUGAGAGGGCAAGUCUGGUGCCAGCAGCCGCGGUAAUUCCAGCUCUCAAAAUGCAUAGAAUUAUUGCUGCGGUUAAAAAGCUCGUAGUUGGAUCUGCAGCCGGAGCUCCGGUCCAUCUUCGGAUGUGUACUGGAUGUCUCCGGCUUUCUGACAGUGUUCGGCUCUGUGCCUCUAACCAGGUGUGGAUGUCCGAUACUGUAAGUUUACUUUGAAUAAAUCAGAGUGCUCUAAACAGGCGUUUUGCUUGAAUGAUUGUGCAUGGAAUAAUAGAAGAGGAUUUCGGUUCUAUUUUAUUGGUUUUAUAGACUGAGAUAAUGGUUAACAGAGACAAACGGGGGCAUUUGUAUGGCUACGUGAGAGGUG
rnacentral:rRNA from 1 species